AUUGAACGCUGGCGGCAUGCUUUACACAUGCAAGUCGAACGGUAACAGGGUGCUUGCACCGCUGACGAGUGGCGAACGGGUGAGUAAUGCAUCGGAAUGUACCGUGUAAUGGGGGAUAGCUCGGCGAAAGCCGGAUUAAUACCGCAUACGCCCUGAGGGGGAAAGUGGGGGACCGAAAGGCCUCACGUUAUACGAGCAGCCGAUGUCUGAUUAGCUAGUUGGUGAGGUAAAGGCUCACCUAGGCGUCGAUCAGUAGCGGGUCUGAGAGGAUGAUCCGCCACACUGGGACUGAGACACGGCCCAGACUCCUACGGGAGGCAGCAGUGGGGAAUUUUGGACAAUGGGCGCAAGCCUGAUCCAGCCAUGCCGCGUGUCUGAAGAAGGCCUUCGGGUUGUAAAGGACUUUUGUCCGGGAGCAAAUCCUAGUGGUUAAUAACCGCUGGGUCUGAGAGUACCGGAAGAAUAAGCACCGGCUAACUACGUG
rnacentral:rRNA from 1 species